GACGAACGCUGGCGGCGUGCCUAAUACAUGCAAGUCGAGCGAGCUUGCCUAGAUGAAUUUGGUGCUUGCACCAAAUGAAACUAGAUACAAGCGAGCGGCGGACGGGUGAGUAACACGUGGGUAACCUGCCCAAGAGACUGGGAUAACACCUGGAAACAGAUGCUAAUACCGGAUAACAACACUAGACGCAUGUCUAGAGUUUAAAAGAUGGUUCUGCUAUCACUCUUGGAUGGACCUGCGGUGCAUUAGCUAGUUGGUAAGGUAACGGCUUACCAAGGCAAUGAUGCAUAGCCGAGUUGAGAGACUGAUCGGCCACAUUGGGACUGAGACACGGCCCAAACUCCUACGGGAGGCAGCAGUAGGGAAUCUUCCACAAUGGACGCAAGUCUGAUGGAGCAACGCCGCGUGAGUGAAGAAGGGUUUCGGCUCGUAAAGCUCUGUUGGUAGUGAAGAAAGAUAGAGGUAGUAACUGGCCUUUAUUUGACGGUAAUUACUUAGAAAGUCACGGCUAACUACGUGCCAGCAGCCGCGGUAAUGCGUAGGUGGCAAGCGUUGUCCGGAUUUAUUGGGCGUAAAGCGAGUGCAGGCGGUUCAAUAAGUCUGAUGUGAAAGCCUUCGGCUCAACCGGAGAAUUGCAUCAGAAACUGUUGAACUUGAGUGCAGAAGAGGAGAGUGGAACUCCAUGUGUAGCGGUGGAAUGCGUAGAUAUAUGGAAGAACACCAGUGGCGAAGGCGGCUCUCUGGUCUGCAACUGACGCUGAGGCUCGAAAGCAUGGGUAGCGAACAGG
rnacentral:rRNA from 1 species